UAACACUUAUUUACAGCCUGGGAGGCAAUUUGACUAUAAAAAGGUUCUGCCAAAGUCACGAGAAGCUAAAAAAAAAAAAGCGCCUUGAGUGGUAGAUAUUCUCCUAUCACAUGCUAUGACAAAAUUGAAACUACAAUUGUGCGUUGACUGUGUUAGCGUAACACUGCUAAUGCACGGGCUGUGACGUCAUUCGUUGUUGUCGAAGGAAAACGUUUUACCCAGAGAAGCCUAUCUUAUUGACUUCUUUGUUAACUCCGUCAUAGAGCGCAGCCAAACCAAACUCACCCCCAGGGAAAACUGCAUCUCUUGUUUAAACAAGAUAACAGGCCCGGGGAGCUCGGAUUUGGCUCGUCCGUCUC